rnacentral:rRNA from 1 species
AUUGAACGCUGGCGGCGUGCUUUACACAUGCAAGUCGAACGGCAGCGCGGGCUUCGGCCUGGCGGCGAGUGGCGAACGGGUGAGUAAUGCAUCGGAACGUGCCCAGUAGUGGGGGAUAGCCCGGCGAAAGCCGGAUUAAUACCGCAUACGACCUGAGGGUGAAAGCGGGGGACCGAAAGGCCUCGCGCUAUUGGAGCGGCCGAUGUCGGAUUAGCUAGUUGGUGGGGUAAAGGCUUACCAAGGCGACGAUCCGUAGCUGGUCUGAGAGGACGACCAGCCACACUGGGACUGAGACACGGCCCAGACUCCUACGGGAGGCAGCAGUGGGGAAUUUUGGACAAUGGGGGCAACCCUGAUCCAGCCAUGCCGCGUGCGGGAAGAAGGCCUUCGGGUUGUAAACCGCUUUUGUUCGGGAAGAAAUCCUCUGGGCUAAUACCCCGGGGGGAUGACGGUACCGGAAGAAUAAGCACCGGCUAACUACGUG